rnacentral:lncRNA from 1 species
AUGAGCAAGGUCUCGUCCUCUGACAGCCUGAAUGGGAGGCACAGCCAGAGUUCCCACAGCUCCGACAGCUCUGGCAAAGAGCCAGAGGGGCCCACAGGGCCAGGGCCUGGGCAGAGCCCCAGAGAGCCAGCCUCCCCCAGCGGAAGGGGGCCCGGCCCAGCUGUAGCAGCCAGGCGCAGGUCAGACUCUUGCCAAGAGCCCCAAGCAGGGUCCUGGCAGGACAGGAGGUCCCGUACUUCUUUGUCUGAGAAAGAGGUCUACUCUGAGGCACCGGUCAUCAAUGGAUGCAUUGUCAGUGGGGAGGAGCCUGAGAAGCAGGAGCCUGAGAAAUGGGCACCGCAACCCAACGGAAUCAGCCAUCUUAACCCUAUCCUGAGUGUGGAGUUGGACACGCAUGCCACACACUCUCCCAGCCUCUCCGCAGGGCCCAACCCACUCAACAGGAACGGGAACACGGAUGCAGAGUGUUGAAGGUCGGCUCCAGAGGUCCCUGGGCAACCAGGAAGGCAGGCAGGCCGAGGAAAGCUGCACAAUUUGCACAGAAUCUCAGUUAUCUGCAGUUAGAGACACUUAAUUAUAAAAGCUUUAGGUUAUUUUAUUUUAUGCACAAACUCUCUCGGUCUGAUGUGGCUUUGUGUCAUCAUCUAAUGCACUGUUUUAGAAUACAACCUUUUUAUUUGACCAGUCUCUCUCUUCCUCUAACAGGAGCUGAAUGAUACUUCUAAUAUAUGGCACAAACAUAUUUAAUUCUAGUUCUGCUUCUUCCUUGCUCUUCCUGAACCUAAAGAAGACAAUACCCUACCGUAAGACUUUCAGUAAAGUCACUGCUUACUUUUUUGCAGCAGAAGCACCACCUAAACAUCGAUAAAGAACAAUGUUUAAGAUCUGGAUCAUCAUAAGCAAAUAGGAUACAGAUAUUGCACAUUAUUAAAGGCACUUUUGCUAUUUCAAAACUGGAGCUCUGUUUCGGUUUGUGAACUAUCUAUCUUUAAUGUGUAAUCAAUGCAAAUACAGCGUAGGGAUGCAAAUGAAAGCCAUGCACGUGUUUCAAUCAAAAUAGCCUACCAUCCUUGAGGAUUAGGUGCUUGUGUACUCAGUCUACCUCGUAUUAGACACACUUGCCUCUUGACUAUCCUAAAUUGUAUUUAAAGGGAAAAACAUGAUAUAGUAGCAUCUUCAUGCAAUGGGACAACAUUUGUAAAUGUCUUCCACCUACAUUCCCAAGCUGUAUAAGGUGCUUUGUUCAUAUUUGCUGGGAUACUCCCAUUGUUUCUUUACUGCUGUAACCUGAUUUCAUCCUAUGUGUAUUCCCCACCUGUAUUAUGUUAGUAGGUAACGCUUUCAGAUAUCUAGUACAACCUAAAACAACUGGAUUAAACAGUAUGCAAACUUAACUGAUACAGCAACUUAAGAAAUAAAUACAUUUGAAGGCUCAUAGGACAUUCAUUCUCACACCCAUCAUGACAUUGUAAAUGUUUCUUCAAAACAUAGAAACAACAUUGAGAGCAUUGACUCUAUUGUAAGUAAUUUAUAUGAAGCCUUCUUUCAUCAUGAAAGGAAAUCUUGUUUUCCAGAUGCAAUGAUUUACUAAGUCUUAAACCUAUCACCAUUUUCUCAAUUCCAUCUUUAUCAGGCAAGCAGCUGAUGGAAAAGGAAAUAACUGGACUGAGUUUGUGUGAAUCUUGAUUUUGUGUGUGUUUGGGAUUUUAAAAGUGUUGUUUGUUUUUUUUACAUUUACAUUGAUGUCCAUUCACCACUUGUCUGAAAUAAAAUUACUAUUCAA